GUGCUCAUGAAAAAGUGGGAUGGUUGGCAUCUCCCCUGACAGGGACAGGAACAGCCUUUGGACUUUCCUCUAACACACUGGCUAAGGCUACCCGCCUCUUUCAGGUGGAUCUCUAACCCAACCUCAC